GUUUGACCCCCCGAAACCAGGCGAGCUACUUUCGAACAGCUUAUGAGCUAACCCUUCUCCGUAGCAAAGGAGUGGGAAGAUUUUAAAGUAGAGGCGACACACCUAUCGAGCCUGGAGAUAGCUGGUUAUUUAAGAAAAGGAUCUGAGUCCAUCUCUAAGUUUUUUUAGCACGCUUAGGCAAAAAAUAAACUUAUUAGACAUUCAAAUAAGGUGCAGCCUAUUUGAACUAGGAAACAGCCUGCAACACAGGGUAAUGCCCACCUUCUGUGAUCAGGUAGGCUCAAAAGCAGCCAACCUUCAAAAAGCGUCCAAGCUUCAUCACUACCCAUAGAUAAUCCCACCCUUAUCCCGCAACCCUCCGCCCCUACUAAAUAACCCCAUACCCAUAUGGGAAAUAUUAUGCUAGAACUAGUAACAAGAAGAAGAGCUUCUCCUAGAUACAAGCUUAAGCCACAAUGAACCCAUCACUGGCAUUUACCGCCACUUGAC
rnacentral:rRNA from 1 species